rnacentral:rRNA from 1 species
GAUGAACGCUAGCUACAGGCUUAACACAUGCAAGUCGAGGGGAAACGGCAUUUAGCUUGCUAAGAUGGACGUCGACCGGCGAAUGGGUGAGUAACGCGUAUCCAACCUUCCGUUAAGUAGGGAAUAGCCUUGCGAAAGUAAGAUUAAUGCCCUAUGUGGUGUUUUGAGGACAUCUGAAGAGCACCAAAGGUUUACCGCUUAACGAUGGGGAUGCGUCUGAUUAGGUUGUUGGCGGGGCAACGGCCCACCAAGCCUACGAUCAGUAGGGGUUCUGAGAGGAAGGUCCCCCACAUUGGAACUGAGACACGGUCCAAACUCCUACGGGAGGCAGCAGUGAGGAAUAUUGGUCAAUGGGCGCGAGCCUGAACCAGCCAAGUAGCGUGCGGGAUGAAGGCCCUAUGGGUUGUAAACCGCUUUUUCAGGGGGAUAAAGUGAGUGACGUGUCAUUCAUUGCAGGUACCCUGCGAAUAAGGACCGGCUAAUUCCGUG